AUACGUAGGUGACAAGCGUUAUCCGGAUUUACUGGGCGUAAAGGGCGUGUAGGCGGCCCGGUAAGUCUGGAGUGAAAGUCCUGUUUUUAAGAUGGGAAUUGCUUUGGAUACUGUCGGGCUUGAGUGCAGGAGAGGUAAGUGGAAUUCCCAGUGUAGCGGUGAAAUGCGUAGAGAUUGGGAGGAACACCAGUGGCGAAGGCGACUUACUGGACUGUAACUGACACUGGGGCGCGAAAGUGUGGGGAGCAAACAGGAUUAGAUACCCUGGUAGUCCACACUGUAAACGAUGAAUGCUAGGUGUAGGGGGUAUCGACCCCUUCUGUGCCGCAGUCAACACAAUAAGCAUUCCGCCUGGGGAGUACGGCCGCAAGGUUGAAACUCAAAGGAAUUGACGGGG
rnacentral:rRNA from 1 species